rnacentral:rRNA from 1 species
UACGUAGGGGGCUAGCGUUGUCCGGAAUCAUUGGGCGUAAAGCGCGUGUAGGCGGUCCGGUAAGUCCGCUGUGAAAGUCGGGGGCUCAACCCUCGGAUGCCGGUGGAUACUGUCGGGCUUGAGUACGGAAGAGGCGAGUGGAAUUCCUGGUGUAGCGGUGAAAUGCGCAGAUAUCAGGAGGAACACCAAUUGCGGAGGCAGCUCGGUGGGGCGUUACUGACGCUGAGACGCGAAAGCGUGGGGAGCGAACAGG